UCGUUCUGAAAUUUCCAGUUCUGGUUUUAUGGAGAGCCUGGAUAUUGUUCAUCCUGUACCAAAGAGACAGUUAUUAAUUGAACACCAGAAAACUAUUUCCCUUCCCUUCUGUAUUCCUUCUCCUGUGUAGCAGUAGUAUUAUCUGCCUUCUGGUUAUGUGUGGACUUUUGGCAAUGUCAUGAAUUUCAAGAUAUUUUCUUAGGCAGAGUACUCAAAAGCAAUUUGCCCUUGCUGUCCUCUAGCUUACUGGUAUAUUUUUCUAUCCAAAUACUAGCCAGGCCUGCCCCUGCUCAGUUCCUAAGAUCAGAUAGGAACUGAUGCUUAGGAGGUAUUGGAGCACUAGCUGAUGUAAAUACUGACAUAAGUGCAUAUGGCAACUGCUAUUGCCUCGGCAAUAGCAACACCUAGUAGAUAAUUGGGUUGGUCCCACCAGACACUGAUGGAUUUGUGUGUGCCUAUGUGAUGCACCACUAUGUGACAUGAAUGUCUCAACUCACAAUCUAGUACUCAGCAUGACUUCCAAUAUGGCAUUCUGUGCUGCCCAGCCUUAUCCCUCUCUUUAAUUCACCCUCAGAGAAUCUAGGAUUUCUGUUUGCUUUUGUCCUCUCCUGUAGAACACUCCAUUUUCCUUUCCAACCAGAAAAUUUCAAAAGGCUUUCAAAUGAAACUUGCAAAAUCGUUUUCUCUUUGUGAGGAAAUCCAUAACUUGACUACUUUCAGACACAUUUUAACUCCAGAAAGUAAUUAUUCAAUCUUGCACAAAACUCUUGUUUCAGUUAAAUGUCUAAUCUAUAUCUCUUUUGAAUGUAUGCUUGGUUCUAAUGCCACCCACUCACCUUUCCCUAUCCAACGGUUGUGAGAUGUAUUUUCAGCCUGGAAUCUCCAGAUUUUUUCCACCUUACAUCCCCAGUUGUGUUCACAAAGCUCCACCAAUCCCAGCCAAACCUCACCACCAAUGCUGCCCAAACAUGCCUGUGCAGCUAUAUUUCACCAUGUCAUCCUACCACCCCUGACCCCCUUGUCUUGGACAGAGACCAGGUGAAGCACUUGCAGAGGGAGAAUGAAAACUUGCCAUGCAGGCUAGCUGUGGCUCAGAGCUGCCUCAACAGGAGGCAGGAUAAGUCCGAAUGAAACACUCUCCAUUCCUUGUUGAGCUAGUGGGAUGAGGCAGUAGAGCAAAUCAUGGAAAAGAUGAUGCAGAAGCCCUACAUGAUAAGGAGGUAUGAUGCAAUAAAAACAAAGAUGCCGAGGGGUUUCUUAAAGUGAAGUGUGGAUCUAGUAAAAACAGUGAGAUGAUCUAUUCCUGCAUAUGUUGUUAGACUUGAAACUUCAUCUUGAUCAAAAGUUCUGUUCACAAAGAUCUCGAAAGUCAGAUAGAUUGACAUGGGGAGCAGGAUGCAAAAGGGGAGCAGGAAAACAGCUUAUGCUAUAUAAUGGAAACACCUAAACAUUAACUUCUAAUGAAACAAUACACACACACUUUUUUCUCUUUUCUAUCGCCAGGCAGUGGCAGAUUGGCAAUAGAAAUAUUGAUUGCCAGAGACAAAGGAGGCCCAUCCACAACUAUAAGGCUACAAUUUAUUAUUAUGAGAGGCGGGUAACAAAUAAAAUGCAUUAUUAUUAUCAUUUACAUUUUGUAAAAAAUAUUUUUUUAAAAAAAAUACAUAAUUAAAAAAGACAAAAUUAAAAGUAUUAUUCAACUACUAUUGAACUUUCUAGCUACUCAAAGAACAUUCCCAUUUUUAACAUCUCCACUUCGGCAUGUUUAAGGAGGCCCACUUGGCAUCAGGCAAGUUGAUACCCAGACCAGUCUGCUACUGUCUCCAGAUAAAGGGAAACUGGGAACUAAUGAGAAAUAGGGAGGGCAGUGUGAUCUUCUGUUCGCUUGUUUUUUAAUAACUUCCUGGUAGUAUGCAGGGAGUGAAAGCUGACAGGUAAAACUCUAGCGUCAUAUUUCUGGGAAUCAAGAUUUUUCUGUUCCUUUCCAAGUAGGAUACUAGCUCCUGUUGCUUUUCUCUUUAUUACUUUUUCUCCCUGAUCAUUGACAGAUCCAAGCCUGGAAAAAACAUUGGUAUGCCCAAAAGGCAGGUGUUAGCCAGAGUGAGACAGCUCCCACAACGGAGAAUCCAGCUGCAGAAGAAAACAGACAGUAGAGAAACAACUAUACAAGGCCUCUACAGAUUUCAGUUCUCAGCUGGUCUUGAGUGCAGAGCGACAGGAGGAUAUAAAAACUCUCCAUAUUGGGCACAAAUGCUUUGAACAACUUUACAAGCAGCACAAGAGGGAGAUGCUUGAGGCUCGUAAAGCUGUGGGGAACAUAGUCAGCACAUCUGCUGCCGCCUACGAAGCAAGACUGGGAAAAAAGUGAAUGCAUGCAGUUGGGAAUAAUUGACCUCACACUUGGAUACUGCCCUGUACUGUUCAAACCCUAGGCGUUAUAUAACUCCACCAAGUCCUUGAUGGCAUCUUAAUUUUGCAUUGUUGUUUGUGGCAAGGAACUGUCCAGAGAACUGAAGCUUUCCAGGGCAGUCUGAUUACUCAAAUCAUGUUUCCCCUGGUUUCAGAGUUUUCUAAGCUGUGCUAAUAGACUUUCAAGCCUAGAUAAGAAUAGAAAAGCACUUUGAAUAUUCUCAGGUUGCUAAAGCUCUGCCUGAUUGCACCGGGAUUGUCCCUUCUCCAUACUGCAAGUCAGAGAAUACCUACAUCAUUUGAUAAGAUGGAUAAUUGGUCAGAUUGGGAGAUAGAAAAUUGGAUUCCUGAGUUGUUUAGACCAGGGUCUCAUUUGACUGUAAUGUUCUCCGGAGACUUGGUUUCAUAAAUAGAAAACUAUGACCCCCAGCAGAUUACUGGCCUAUGGAACGCCCUCCCAAAUUUACUCCCCCUUCUUCCCCCUUGUUGGAGGAGUUUCAGAUUUUGCUACAGAAAGAUGCAAUCUCACAGCUGCACUCAUUUGUUGGUGAAUGUUUCUUUUCUCAUUACUUUUUGGUGGCUGAGUGUGACAGAGGGCAGCACCAUAUUUUAGACUCAACAGAUAUAAACAGGUACAUCUGAAAUUUUGAAUGGUGUAUCUUGCUACCAUACUCCCCUUACUGAAUAAAAAAAAUGGUUUGCCACCA